GACGAACGCUGGCGGCGCGCUUAACACAUGCAAGUCGAGCGAUGAAAUUUCGACAGAUCCCUUCGGGGUGAAGAUGAAAUGGAUUAGCGGCGGACGGGUGAGUAACACGUGAGUAACCUGCCUUUGACAUUGGGAUAGCCUCGGGAAACUGGGAUUAAUACCAAAUGACACUAACUGAUCACAUGAUCAAUUAGUCAAAGAAAUUCGGUCAAAGAUGGACUCGCGGCUGAUUAGCUAGUUGGUGAGGUAACGGCCCACCAAGGCGACGAUCAGUAGCCGGCCUGAGAGGGUGAUCGGCCACAUUGGAACUGAGACACGGUCCAAACUCCUACGGGAGGCAGCAGUGGGGAAUAUUGCACAAUGGGGGAAACCCUGAUGCAGCCACGCCGCGUGAGCGAAGAAGGCCUUCUGGUCGUAAAGCUCUUUUAUGAGGGAAGAUAAUGACGGUACCUCAAGAAAAAGCCCCGGCUAACUACGUG
rnacentral:rRNA from 1 species